rnacentral:lncRNA from 1 species
GCAGCAUACAGGAGGCAGCAAGUCUGAGGUGCAAGUCCAUGGACUGCUAAUGAGACUAGAUUCAAGGAUAAUUCCUCCAGCAGCCUGUCUCUGAGCAUCACUGUGAGUCUUGGUUUGUCUUUCUACAGUUCUUUUUCUGGUCCUUAGUAAAAAAUACAAGAAUGAUUGUGUUUUUUUUUUUUUUAUGUGUCAUUACUAUUGUUCUCACAGGCACCAACUAAUGGCUGAAAUACCAAGCAAUAUGGAUUAGCACUGUAUCUCAUUUUUGCAGUGUUGUCUAUACACUUGGGUCAUCUGGAAUGACUCAUUGCUCUCUAAUGGCAGUCUGUAUACAGAGCAGAUGAGCGGAGACGUUGUCCUUUAACUGCUAAGAUAAUGAAGUACUGUGGGAUCUGACUUCCGGGCCGGCCAGGGCAGAUUGGAGUAAGUCCGGCCCAGCGCAGGGAACUGCAGUGUGGGGCAGGGCGCCAUGGCAGGUGCCUGUGUCAGCAGUACUGCCGGCCAAGGGGAGAGGUCAAUCUCACACCUCCAGCAGGUGGGACACAGACUUGCAUUAAUGAUGCUUACAGUGAGAUAGCUGCAGUGUCAGGGGGAGAGGAGAGCAUCGAGCCAGGUGUCUCCUCCAGCUCUGAGAUUUACACAGGAACACAACAAAGGGUGGUCCCUUCUUCACUUUGGAAUGUCCAAGUAUCUAGUUCGGGGUGGGCAUUAGGCUAA